GUGUAUGGCUGGGGUUAGAGCGUUGGCCUCCAGAGCCAAAGACCAGAGGUUCAAAUCCUCUCGAGGACACCA
rnacentral:tRNA from 3 species